UGGAAGGCCGUGCGACGGGGCGCGGUAAGACGAAGCGGGCGAACGGUGUUCGGAAGCACGGGGGUUAAAGGGGGCGUAGGCGGGCGGCGAAGUCAGGGGUGAAAUCUUUCGGCUCAACCGGAAAACAGCUUCUGAGACUGGUCGUCUUGAGCGAGGUAGGGGCAUGUGGAACUUCCGGUGGAGCGGUGAAAUGCGUAGAUAUCGGAAGGAACGCCGGUGGCGAAAGCGACGUGCUGGACCUCUUCUGACGCUGAGGCGCGAAAGCUAGGGGAGCAAACGGGAUUAGAUACCCGAGUAGUC
rnacentral:rRNA from 1 species